GUCGGUAAGCCAUGCUUUCAAUGAAACUGGCUGUAAAAACAAUAACUCGUUUUAGUCAUUUGUGCAUUGCAUGUCGUUACCACUAAUGAGCACAAGAUGGCAGAUGACUUCUUCGCCACUAUCAUAUUGUGUAUUUUUAAAGGAAGAAUUAAUAACAUGCAACGACCGUACUAUAGCCAACUUAUUAAAUGAUGAUCCAAAAUCAGGAAGUCAAAUGCAGUUUGAGAUUUAUUAAGAAUAAUGUGUUAUAUAAUAAUAUAGGAUAUAGAAGAGGUAGGCUUGAUCAUUAUUUCACACUCCAUCACAGCAGGUGGCGGUAUGCAUCUGUAAAAUUGGUUCGUAACCCGCAAUUAAACUAAAAGAAGAAGAUGAAGAUUGUAACGUCAGAUGAGGUGGCUCAUCGUAAGCAUUAUGUAAGUGCAUGCUCACAAGCUUAUUAAUAAUUAUAUUGCAGGGAAUGCGUUACGACAGGCACUGUCAUUGUGUGAAUAAUUAAUGAUAUAGUGAUCCAAGCACUACGUCGAGUUUGCCGUAAGCUUACCUCAUAGCCAUCAUAAGCCAGGUACGCUGACUGAAGGGUAACGUAACCACACGGAAGAGCCAAAAAGUACUAUGGAGGAAUACAAACACAAAAGCAGCAGCAGUAACAACAGAAGACAGUUUUGUCAUGUAAAUGGCCUUGGAAAAAAGUCUUUUUAACUGCAAUCACAUAAGUUGAUGGAAACAGUGUCAGGCUUUCACAGAUGGAGACGAUAUAGUGAGAUUAUUCACCAAGUAUUUAUUCACAAGAUUGACCGAAGCUGAUUUAGAUGACCAAAUUAUGAACAUUAUGACCCACCCUGAGGCUGUAAGAGUGUGCCUAAUGAGAGAAUGCAUACUUUUAUAGGACUUGUACUUUUAUAAGGAGUUAUAGGACUUAAUAUACUCAAGAAGACCAAGGGAUCCUUAUGGGACUGUACAUGCUGGACAUACAGAUCGUGCCCUGAUGCCAUCUGCCCCAUUCUCCCAGCCUCAUCUUCCCUCUCUAUGGCUUGCUUCACAUCGGUUGGCUCUCCUUUGGCUUUCUUCGGCUCUCUUCAUCCUGUCUGCCUGCUUGCCUCGCUGCUCUCCCCGAUAACAUUUCCUGUCUGAUGCCUUGACCUCUGACUCUUUCUGCCAGGUGCCAUCCUCAGCGAUGACUCACUUUAGUGCCACCCUGCUGAUUGGCAUUGCUCUUCUGAGGUCAUCACCAUCUUUCUUCAGCCAACCAAAAAAAUUCUCACCAACCACCCCGGCUCUGCUAAGCUUGAUGUUGGAGGUCUGCUGUUUUUGAAGCAGGGGACCAAUAUCCAUUAAAGGCUUUCUGAACCAUUUAACAAAAUCACAAAAGAUAGGGUAGUUCAUACUCAAUGUGAUGUGCUAUACAAUGGAAGGGCCAUCACAUCUUUAUACUGCAAAGAACAAUUUACUAACUUAUCAAUUAUUGAAUGAAGAAAGGCAAUGGAAAAGCAAAGAUAUUUCUUUCCCUGGGGAAUUUGAGUCUUAAAUUUAGUAAUUACUGUUUUAUGGAAUAAAUAAAAGUUGAAUAUUAUGUUAUUUUAAAAGCAUCAUGUAUCUUUUUCAUUCCUUAUGUAUUCUACAUAGUAGUGUGUCAGGCACUUAAACCCUUAGGAAAAAGGCCAAGGAAAAUAGAGAGCAACAUAGCAACAUAAACACCUCAUAUCUAAAAACAACUGUUUAUUUUCACAUGCAACAUUAAACUAUGGUAUACAUCUCUGUUUUCAUUACAAUAUUGAACAGGAUGAGUAUUUUGAGUCUACAGUACUGCUUGCUCCAUCUCCAGCAAAGAUGAAAACAUCCCGAGAAAAAGGACCCAUUCACACAGCCUUCCUCGUUUUACCACCUCAACACAUUUUACACGGACAACACAGCAUCUGGAAGACAUUUAUGAUCCUCACCAGUGUUAUUUAUUGUGUGUUUUUUGUCCUGUGUGUGUCUAAUGAUAAUAAAAAUAUAUAUAAUUGAUCAAUUGAACUUUGAAGGAUAAAGCAAAACAAUUUACU